GAAAAAUUUUGUCAGCAGGUUUUGUUGGACUUUCUGGCAAGCGGUGCCAGAAAGAACUGGAGUUUCUGGAGAAUAAAAGCUGGAGGCGUGCCCCCGAUAAUCCCCGCCCCGGGUGGUGAGUGGUCUGACUUGCACGGACCGGUGGCCUUGGCCGGGAGCGGUCCUGCGGGAAGCGCCUUUGCCCAGCCUGUAAUUUUAAUUUCCCUUGGAUGCUUGGCAAAGCCCCCCUGGGUGAGCCCCAGUGCCUGGCAUGAGCAGAGCGGGCUUCCAGGGAGGUAUUCACCUGGUCAGCGUCAGGAACCAUCCUAACUGAGGCCUCGGCUCCCUCUUUCCCUUCGGUUGCCGUGUGUGUGCCGGACACCUCUGGCAGGACUAACCCUUGGCUUUUAUGUCCCACGUGCUGUGCUGUGUGCCUGCAGGUAAGAAAAGCUGGGAGUGCAGUCCCUCUGCUUUGCUUGCUGUGUCUCUCAUCAGGUUUUCCAGCCAAGAAGAACAAGGAGAGAGAUGAGGGAAUCGGGUUCCAAUUCCUAAUGAUUUGGUGGGUGCAGGAAUGAUUUCUGUGUGUUUUCCAGUCCCUUUUGAUUCCUGAGAUGAUUUUAAAAUGAUGGCUUUAGCAAUCAACUAAAUCGUAGAUGUUGUUUUUGAGAGGAAAUGAUGCCAAAUAAAUGCAGAGUUUUGGGUCA